GGAUGUGGAAUCCACAGGAAGACUCAAGACGACUGUAGCCAUCGCUGGUGAUAUUUUUGCAGGAGACAGGAGUGUUUCAGUAUGUUGAUGUGCAUGAAGAUGCAGCUGGUCGGCAGAUUUACAGGGACACAUGUUGCGGUCGACAUCCAGCCUGUCACAGUUAUACUUCUCUAGAGGUCAUCCCAGUCUCACUCUGAAGCUGUGGAAAUCCAGCGUUUGGUCAGUGACUUCUGGCGUCAGACACCAACAGAAAAAGCCGCCCUUUCACGUUGGUAUGAUUCGUGGCUGGUCGCUGUUAUUGUUUAACGGCACUCGGUGGCGUCAGGUGAAAACACUGUGGGACAACAGUGAAAGUUAAGGCAAUGGAAGUCGGAGGCCGGUGUUCCCAGAACGUCAACAAGCAACACACCCAGGGUACCUUGGACGCCAUAUGUGGACGUGGAAAGUCCAUGACCAAACGUCAAGAGGUGAUGAGGUCAGAGAAUGUGCUGGUCACAUUAGACGCCUCUUUUGGUUGGCCAAUGAUAAAACACUGUCUGA